UACGAAGGGGGCGAGCGUUAUUCGGAAUCACUGGGCGUAAAGCGUGCGUAGGCCGCUCUGAAAGUUAGGAGUGAAAGCCCCAGGCUCAACUUGGGAAUUGCUCUUAAUACUGCAGGGCUAGAAUUCGGGAGAGGAUAGCGGAAUUGUCAGUGUAGCAGUGAAAUGCGUAGAUAUUGACAGGAACACCAGUGGCGUAAGCGGCUAUCUGGACCGACAUUGACGCUGAGGCACGAAAGCGUGGGGAUCAAACAGG
rnacentral:rRNA from 1 species